rnacentral:rRNA from 1 species
AAGCGACCCCAGGUCAGGCGGAGACCC